rnacentral:rRNA from 1 species
AUUGAACGCUGGCGGCAUGCUUUACACAUGCGAGUCGAACGGUAACAGGCCGCAAGGUGCUGACGAGUGGCGAACGGGUGAGUAAUGCAUCGGAACGUGCCCAGUCGUGGGGGAUAACUACUCGAAAGAGUAGCUAAUACCGCAUACGAUCUAGGGAUGAAAGCGGGGGACCGGAAGGCCUCGCGCGAUUGGAGCGGCCGAUGUCAGAUUAGGUAGUUGGUGGGGUAAAGGCUCACCAAGCCAACGAUCUGUAGCGGGUCUGAGAGGACAACCAGCCACACUGGGACUGAGACACGGCCCAGACUCCUACGGGAGGCAGCAGUGGGGAAUUUUGGACAAUGGGCGCAAGCCUGAUCCAGCAAUGCCGCGUGCAGGAAGAAGGCCUUCGGGUUGUAAACUGCUUUUGUACGGAACGAAACGGCUCUGGUUAAUACCCGGGGCUAAUGACGGUACUGUAAGAAUAAGCACCGGCUAACUACGUG